rnacentral:sRNA from 1 species
UCUCUAAAAACAAUCUCAGCCCACCUCUUCAAUUCGCAAUUUUCGUUUCUUUCCAAUUCUCCACCUUCUCGAUUUCUUUUUCUUCUUCUUCCUCAAUUCGGAUCCUUAUGAAAACUAAAAGAAAGUUAUCUCUAUCUCUCCAUGAUUUGUAGCGUCUCCGUCUCUUCAUCUCUCCAUAGUUUCUGGGCUUGGUUCCUUUUCUCGGGUUCUUUAUUUUGUCUAAAAGAACUUCGAUUUGAUUCCAAAAGUGAUUGGAGGGCUUGGGUGUUUAAGGAAUCUCAGUUUUCAGUAACGAGAUCAAUGUGUUUCCGCCGGAGUAGGGGGAUUUUGUAGUCGCAGAUCAAGCUUUUUUCUUCUAUCUAUGGAAAGAAAGAAACAUCAGAAUCCACGAAAACAUCUCAACUUCUCCUGCCCCUGUCUUUUCACAGAUCGAUAGGAGCAUACGUGAAACUCUUCUAGCUCGUCGUUGCCGCAAUGGCUGCGGACGUCUACCCUCGCAAUGGUUUUCCCAUGGCUAAUUACUCAUAAGUAUUUCCUUUCUACUUAGUUUGUUGUAGUAGCUUUGACUUUUAAAUUUUUUUUUUGGUCAGAGCAGCUCCUUGCCCCCGAGCUUUAUAAUUAACAUUGUUCCAUUUUGGUGAUAGAAAUUCAUAUUUUAUUUAUAAAAAGAAAUAGUAGACGUAUACAAUAACUUUAUUGUAAAAUGGAUAUAGCUUAGGAAAAAGGUUUUCGUAUGGACU